rnacentral:misc_RNA from 1 species
AUCUCGAGGAAACACAAUUAAGCCUUUGAUUUAAAAUAAAAAAGAGACCGAAUACGAUUCCUGUAUUCGGUCCAGGGAAAUGGCUCUUGGGAGAGAGCCGUGCGCUAAAAGUUGGCAUUAAUGCAGGCUACGUCGCCUUGCCCUUUAAGAAUAGAUGACAACGCCAGGUUUUCCAGCUUGUGACGAAGGUGAUUGAAAAAAUCUGCCGCCAUGUUUGUCAUCAGAGAUAAAAAAACCGUAACCCUUUUCGUGA